GCUGGCGUAGCUCAGACGGUAGAGCAACUGAUUUGUAAUCAGAAGGUCGCGGGUUCGAUUCCUGCCGCCAGCACCA
rnacentral:tRNA from 1 species